rnacentral:rRNA from 1 species
GAUGAACGCUGGCGGCGUGCCUAAUACAUGCAAGUCGAGCGAACAGACGAGGAGCUUGCUCCUCUAACGUUAGCGGCGGACGGGUGAGUAACACGUGGAUAACCUACCUAUAAGACUGGGAUAACUUCGGGAAACCGGAGCUAAUACCGGAUAAUAUAUUGAACCGCAUGGUUCAAUAGUGAAAGACGGUUUUGCUGUCACUUAUAGAUGGAUCCGCGCCGCAUUAGCUAGUUGGUAAGGUAACAGCUUACCAAGGCAACGAUGCGUAGCCGACCUGAGAGGGUGAUCGGCCACACGGGAACUGAGACACGGCACAGACUCCUACGGGAGGCAGCAGUAGGGAAUCUUCCGCGAUGGGCGAAAGCCUGACGGAGCAACGCCGCGUGAGUGAUGAAGGUCUUCGGAUCGUAAAACUCUGUUAUUAGGGAAGAACAAAUGUGUAAGUAACUAUGCACGUCUUGACGGUACCUAAUCAGAAAGCCACGGCUAACUCCGUG